rnacentral:rRNA from 1 species
UACGUAGGCAGCGAGCGUUGUUCGGAAUUACUGGGCGUAAAGAGUGUGUAGGCGGUGUUCCCAGUCUGUUGUGAAAUCUCCCGGCUUAACUGGGAGGGUGCAGCGGAAACUAGAAUGCUAGAGGGUGGGAGAGGUAAGCGGAAUUCCUGGUGUAGCGGUGAAAUGCGUAGAUAUCGGGAGGAACACCUGUGGCGAAAGCGGCGCACUGGACCACUUCUGACGCUGAGGCGCGAAAGCUAGGGGAGCAAACAGG